rnacentral:rRNA from 1 species
UUUAUGUUAGGUUAAUACUGCUCAAUGAACUGUUUUAAAUGGCCGCAGUAAACUGACUGUGCUAAGGUAGCAUAAUAAAUUGGCCUUUAAUUGGGGUCUGGUAUGAACGGAAUAAUAUGUGAUAUCUGUCUUAUUUGUAUUAUUUUAAACUUACUUAGAAGGUGAAAAUUCCUUUAAGCGAUACCGAAGGACGAUAAGACCCUUAGAAUUAUUAAAAGUUGUUUAUCCUUAAUUAAUCAUACUUUUUUGUUGGGGCGACAUAUUACCAUUUAACAUAAUAUAUUUACUAAAUAACAAGACUAAUUUACUUAGUAAGAUUUAAUUACCUGAGGGAUAACAGCAUAAUAUUAUUAUAUGUUUAUGACCUCGAUGUUGGACUAGGUAAGUUAUUAACUAACAGUUAUUAACUAAUGUUCUGUUC